CGAAGGGUAACACGCAUGCGCGGGUUAAAACGGAAGUUUACAUUCUAUCUGGAUCAUAUAAGCGCUUGAAAACAUACAGAUAUCAAGGACGAUCAAUGUCGCGUAAAAAGAUAAAGUGUGGAAAACAGUAAACAAACAAAAAAAUGGAUGUACGUGCUUUAGCAUAUUGAAAACCAUGUCAAGAAAAGAUCGAAAAAGAGUUAAUCCCAUUGAAGAGUCAAGGAAAUGGAGUGAAAAGAAUAUUGAUCCACCAGGAUUUAAUAGAAGUUUAUUUGAGAACAAAGGCAGAGGAGUCAGAACAACUGUCCGCAGAAAUGCAGGCGACUUUUUGUUAGUGUAUACAGGAAAGGUUAUAACA